rnacentral:rRNA from 1 species
CGAGCGCACCCUUGUCUUAGUUGCCAGCCUUACGUUGGGCACUCUAAGGAGACUGCCGGUGACUAACCGGAGGAAGGGGGGGACGACGUCCAGUCAUCCUGGCCCUUACGUGUAGGGCUACACACGUGCUACAAUGGCAUUUACAGAGGGAAGCGGGACAGUGAUGUGGAGCGGACCCCUUAAAGAAUGUCGUAGUCCGGAUUGGAGUCUGCAACUCGACUCCAUGAAGUCGGAAUCGCUAGUAAUCGCAGGUCAGAAUACUGCGGUGAAUACGUUCCCGGGCCUU